CUCCACAAAGCUACAUACUGUAGGUCUUGACUGCAUGAGAACUUAUCCUGAAACUCCUUUCUGGUCUUUAAUGGUCCUUCAGGGUUAAGCUCUAAGACACCGCCCAGUAAUAAGCCAUGCCCACCGCCAGCUAAACCCUGUCUCUUACGGGGGCCACAAUAUAUAUUCGAAGGCUACCGGAAGAUGGCAUCUCAGUCUGAGCAACGCAGUCCCUCAUGAUGGAGCUUCCCCACCCAGACCCGCUGGAGAGAGGUGAUUUAUUUAAGAAGAGGUUGUAAAGGUGGAGCAGGUGGUGCUGGCGCUACCAGUGCCCAAGUCUUUCUUCUUUGACCCGAUACAGGUAAAAGGUUGCUGGAGCCUAUCCAGGCAUCAAAGAGAACAAGGCAGGGACUGAAAGCCAGUCCAUAGCCGGGCACAUCCACGCUGGCACGUUUAAAGAAGGGAGUCAGCCAGCCCCGAACUUCUUGGGAGAAAGUCCAAACGGACAAAGGGAGACGGUAGGAUCUCCUCACGGAUUGUUGUCAGAAAUUCUGUCUGUUUGGUUGUGUGGAAUGACCCUGCUGUGAAAAAAGGACAUGUGGACUACUGACUUGAGGUGACUUGAUGAGCUUCAGCAAGAACCAGAGUUCAUGGCCCAGAAACACAGUGAAGGAACCCCAUGACAGAAGCACUACGUGUAUGAAGAGAACCAUCCCAUCUAUGGUUAUUUUUUAUUUUCUCCUCAUGAUACUGUAAUGAAACAACAGAGUUAAGAAAAUCUGUGGCCAUAAUAGUUGGUCAGUCUGUCCCUCCUCUAAACCAGUUUAAUAAAAGUGUAAGAUCAUCCUUAGUCAGAACCUGUUCCUGUCAGGACCAACUGUAGAUGGAGUGCCACUGUAUUCAAUGGAGAGAGAAUUUAACUGCUUACUAGCGAACAUAUACUGUACCUCAUUACACACUUUUAUUUAAAGCAAAGUCAAUACUAAAUAUAAGCAAGUGAAACUAAAGAGAUUUGUGUUCUCGUUUCUGGAUAAAUUCUUAAAGCUCUCAACUGAUUGUGUGCAGCC